CAUUUGAAGGGCUAAUUCCCAAUCUAGAAAUAUUGCGUGGGUGAAGAAGGGCACACAAAUCUCUUUCGUUGAGUUUCAAUCAUGACAAGACUCGAGGAAGAAACCCUGACUAACUUCGUGCCAACAACCUAGUAAAACAGGGGGUGUUAUUUGAAAUGACUUGGCAUAAAGGGCACGCAGACGGUGAAAAGGGUGGAGAGUGAAAGUCACCAAAGAACUAGUAGGGCAUUUGGCUUGAGUGAAAUAGGGGCGAGUGGAAUUUCAUGUGGAGGGAUCAAAAUGCAGAGAUAUAUGAAGGAACGUCGACCACAAAGAAAGCUCUCUUGGUCCCCACUGACGUUGGGAUACAAAAGCAUGGGGAACAAACAAGAUCAGAUACAUGUCCAUGUUGUAAGCGAUGAGUGUUCAUCCUUGAUCUAACCAUAU
rfam:Picea glauca, whole genome shotgun sequence.